UAAUAUAGACAUUUGGAGCUAUAGAAAUGCUGUGUUAAUUGAGCCGCCUAUUCAAGAAUUCCAGGUGUUUGUACACAUUUCAGUUUGGAAGAAAAUAUUUCUGAAGAAAGAUCUUCUUUAUCCUCCUAAACGCUCUAUUCUGGGUGUCUGGCUUGGCCCUGGUCAUGGUGGGGGCUAUGUCUCAGCCCACCUACACAGAAAUGGAGUCUUUCACCCACAUAUCCCAGGGCAUGUCUCACACCUCCAUCCUCCUCAUAGUGGCGGAGAGAAGGAUCACACUGAAAGUCAACGAGGUGAUCGUACAGCACAGCCCCAGGGAUAAGGUUGCCAUCGUUGACCUACAGCAUGCAUUCCAUUGUUGUGGUGCAGAGAACUGCACUGACUGGCUCCUGCAGAGCUCUCAUGGGAAUAUUAGUUUUGUGCCACACUCCUGUUGCCAUGUGGAUUAUGUGGCCUGUGUGAAAGUCGUCACCACAGACAAUAUCUACCAGAGGGGCUUUGUGCAGGUGAUCAAAGAGUCCCUGAAGAGGAACCUGGUGUGGCUGGGUGCCGCCUGCAUUGUACUGGGUCUCAUAGAGGGCUCAGAUGGAAGUGAUUACGCUGCAGAGGGAGAGAUAAAUUACAGAGAGAACCUACAGAGCUCCAGCCCUUCUCCUUUAUCCACUCACUCAUUCACUCACUUACACAUACAGGCACGCAAUCACAUGCACAGGAGCACAUGCCCUGCCGCCAGUCCCACCACCUUGCUUCUGGUGGUACAUUUCCACUCCUGGCUGUGUCAGGACAAUGCGCCAGUGUGCUCCCCUCCCUCCCCUCUCGUGGGCCGAGUGAGUGCGCGAGGCAUGAGGGCCAGGGUUGUAAAUUCCUCUGAAAGAGCAGUUAAGAAGGCUACCAUUAAAACGGGGAUCGACGCUCGCCAGAAAGGAGCCGAAGAAAUGAGUCAUCACCUGGAGCCUGAAGGGUUCCAGAGCCUGCAGAACCACAGAGGAGAGGAACUGUAGAAAUAGAAUGGAUAGAACAUACGGUAUCUCUCAUUUUAGAUGUAUACAACUUAGGUCAACUAAGUUGAGAUGCCAAGGAAGCAUUGUGAUUAGAUGACAUGAGCGUUAUAAUUGUGAUAUUUAACUACAAUGUCACAUUUCUUUGUUUUCUAAUUUAAUUAUUUGGACAUAUUCAAAAAAAUAUAUGUCUUGUCUUGCUCCAUUUCAUAUGUUUUGGAACCCUAAGGCUAGUGCCGCUAGUUUCCUAUAUUGUAGAGUGUAGGUUUAGGCUUAGGGUUCUAACUAGCCACGAAAUCUUAACAUCAGUCGUGGAGGUCUAUUCUAGACCGUGAACCCCGCCCUCUCUCAGCUUCAGGUCUGUAGGUCAGUUGAGUUGCCAUAGCAGCUCUCUGUGCUGUACCACACAGCUACUAUACAGACKGGGGCUGAUUCAGAAGGCCAGGCAGCGAGCUCUAACCAGUGAACACAGCUACGUCAGACAGGGGGCUUCCUGUGCACUGAGGUGGGACAGUAAGUGCUUUCACCCCAAUCCUUCAACCUAACUGACCACCGGUGUUUGUGUUUGUCUUAGCAAGGGCUCUGUGCCACGGGAGUCAGGACAACAAUAGCUGGAACCUACUCAAACAGAACUGGCUGGGUCGUAUACAGGUUGGAUUAGAGUUGUAAUCGACUGUUUCAUGUACUGCCUGGAGCACAACAGUUGCUGGGUUCUUAUUAUAGGAGAUCACUCACAGUCAGUUGCACUAACACAAUAGAAGAUGACGAGAAGAUUCCCCCCAGUGCUCUGUUUGUAUUCUCAUCCACCAGAUUGUUAACUUACUCGCGCCGUGAGCCCGAGACAGUGGCAUGGUUUGUAACACACAGUGUGGU
rnacentral:lncRNA from 1 species